rnacentral:rRNA from 1 species
AGUGAACGCUGGCGGUAGGCCUAACACAUGCAAGUCGAACGGCAGCACAGUAAGAGCUUGCUCUUGCGGGUGGCGAGUGGCGGACGGGUGAGGAAUACAUCGGAAUCUACUUUUUCGUGGGGGAUAACGUAGGGAAACUUACGCUAAUACCGCAUACGACCUACGGGUGAAAGCAGGGGAUCUUCGGACCUUGCGCGAUUGAAUGAGCCGAUGUCGGAUUAGCUAGUUGGCGGGGUAAAGGCCCACCAAGGCGACGAUCCGUAGCUGGUCUGAGAGGAUGAUCAGCCACACUGGAACUGAGACACGGUCCAGACUCCUACGGGAGGCAGCAGUGGGGAAUAUUGAACAAUGGGCGCAAGCCUGAUCCAGCCAUACCGCGUGGGUGAAGAAGGCCUUCGGGUUGUAAAGCCCUUUUGUUGGGAAAGAAAAGCAGCAGGUUAAUACCCCGCUGUUCUGACGGUACCCAAAGAAUAAGCACCGGCUAACUUCGUG